CCAGCACGGCUCGGCUCCGCACGGCCCGGGGCGGGGCGAGGCGGCCGGGGGGAGCGGCGCUGCGCGGCCCCACGCCCGCUAUAAGAGCAGCGGCAGCGGCUGUGCUCCGCAGUGCAUGGCAGCGCCGGUCCGCGUCCCUAGCUUGGUCUCUGUCCUCUCCCCGCUGCCACCACCCCACUUGACCUUGAAUUUGGCACUCGGGGCCGCCCUGGGAUGAGGCGGAGCGCGCAGGACCCUCGCCCGUAGGAAAGGGAGAGGAGGCCCCCUCCCGCUGUAGGAGCGCAAGAGGAUUUACGGAGCAUCUUUGCCACCUUUGUUGAAGGGCAGGGGAGGGCCGUCAGGAUGAGUACCAGCACUCUCACCUCUUGUCCAACACUGCAACUCAGGAGCUGGAGUCCAAGCCCAGGUAUCCUCUGCGGGCAUUGAGGCCUUCACCCUGCCUUUGUCACCAGACCUGGGGCUUGGUGGUAACGUGGAUGGGUCCUGGCUGGCCCUGGUGAUGCUGGUGGGCAAGGGGACGUGUGAGCUUGGGGGUCUCCUGGGAGCUGCAUGGAGUCUCCUCCAGGUGCCUGGUGAAUCGAGGACUUGCCAAGAGAGGUCAUCUGUGGCUGUCCCAGCUCCUUCCUCCAUGCUUGGGUCUGGUGGCACAAAGGGUACAAUUCAGAAAAUUUCGCUCCUUGGCAGGCGGUUCCUGGCUCAUGUAAGCCAAAAGCACGCACAACAAAGCCGGUGUUGAUUAUGUCCCUUGAAAAGGGGACUUGUUCCCUGGAAAACGCGGCUCUGCUGGGCCCGUUGACCACCCGCUAAUUGGCACUAAUGAGGAGCUGGGAGGUCCUGAUGAAGGCACCGAAGGCUUUUAGCAGGAGACAGCCACGUCUGCCUGCCUGCCACUUCCUGUGCUGGCAGCCCCCCCCUUUCCUUUUGAAGUCUGUUCCUGGGCGUACACAGGAGCCAAGGAGAGCAGGAGUGUGGGAAGGAGGAGGGGAGGAUGAGUCUGUGUGAAACCCCUGUGUACACGCACCCUGGGGAGCUCAUUGUUCUGCCCUGCCACAUCCUCCCCUCCAUGCACACUGUCCCCUGCUGGCACUGAGCCCUUGUGGCCCCCUGGUAGGAAUGCCCCGUGUCCCUGGGGGCUCAGGAUGUGCCCGGGGUUUCCAGCCCCCUGGGAGGGCCCGGCAGGUGGGCUCUGGUGGGCUGAGGCAGAGGGGUCGGGUGCUGCUGCCCUGCUCCAGCUGCUCCUGUAAGACCUGCACUGAUUCCACUGGGGGUUCUCAUCUUCUCCUUGCUAAAGUGUCCAAGCUGUUGCACCCAGUCCUUUCUAUGGGAGGUUUUUCAGGCUGCCAGCCCCUCUGACCACCGCCUCCACCUGGGUGCCCGCUCUUGACCCCAUAACCAGGGGUCCCAAGGCUUUGCCCCCUGCGUUGUGCUCUGCCUGUCAGAGGCUGUCUGCGCUGUGAGGGUGGCUCGGCAGAGGGAGAGCUUCCCUUGGGGAUCUGUUGUUUUCUUAGAACAAACAACCAAGUGGGGUGCUAUUUUCCCAUUCCAGCUGAGAGAGGUUGUAGCUGCUGCUUUUUGACCCUAAACCCUGACAUUUGUUUUUUAAUUAUCUCUGUCUUCAAUGAAGUGUGACCAAGAGAUGAGAGCAGAACAUGCUUUGGCGGUGGACACAGCUUGUGGUUUUGCAGUUUCAGGGCUUAUGUCAAUAUAUUUGUAGCUGCAUUGCUACUUCCUACAUUGACCUUGGGCUAGGGGUCCAGGUGAGCCUCAGGCUGUUUGAGGAAGUGUUUUUGGAGCCCUGCUCCUUUCACAACCAGCCAUGGAGAUGGCCUGCCCUUGUGGGGCUGGCACUGGGCGUUGCUCCAAGAGGGUCCACUUGGUCUUGGCAGCAUGGCCCUGAAACACCUCACAUCAGGGCUGAGGCUGAAUAACCUGGCAUUGUCCCCAGACACCCACCCACAUGUCACCUUAAGAGUGUCCCCAGGUCAGGUUCCUGCCCUGCCUCAGGGCAUGUGAAGGGCUCCCCCAGCCUCCAGGAUGCUGCUUCCCUGUGCCAGGCUGGGAUGUCCCACAGCAUGGCAUGGAGCUGCCAGAGGGAAAUGGCCCAUGGGCUGAUGGGCACCAUCUCGGUGGCACAGCUCAGUGUGUGCCCUGGGUUGCUUCCUUGAAGGUCAUCCCAAGGUGAGCAGCCAAAAGGCAGCUCUCCUCCUCCUCCUCCUCUCCACAGCCCCAGUGCUUUCCCACCCCAUUGCUCCCUCCUGCCCCAGCCUUCCCUCCAGGGUUGUAAGCUUGUCUCCUUCCUUUUUUUUUUUUGCCUUUUCCUCCUUUCCUCUUUCUCUCCUCUCCUCUCCCACCAGCUUUGUUCGCCCUGGCUGUGUAUUGGAGUUGCCAUGGUGACUGCCGGAGCAUCUCCGCAUCCUGCAGCAGGUCCUGUGCCCCGCCCUGGGGGCGGCAGGGCCCACUCCUGCCCCUUAGGGGGACCAGCCACCACGUCCUCCUGGGGGUGGGGGUCUCUGGGGACGUCCCUGUGACACACCCUGGUGUGUGGGGGGAGGAUGGGUCAGGGUGCAGGGUGGUCCUUGCCCACCCGGGAUGGGGCCAUGCAGCACCUUGUGCUGGGAGAGGUGCUGGCAAGGCUGCUGCGUGGCAUGGCAUCAUUAGCCUCCCGUUGCUGGAGCUGUUAAUCUUCGAUAAAUGUUGCUAAUGAGUGAGCAUUACUUAUGGAAAACAGAGGAGCCUGCUGCAGCACAGGCCGUCCCUUUAACAGGCACCUCCGUGUGCCAGCAGAGGGGCAGAAAGCUGUGCAAGUACCAGACUGAGCCCCGUUAACUUUUACGGGACACGUGCACCUUUCUUUUAGGGAAUAAGCUUUCUUUUUCCCACCCUGGGAGCCAUGCUAUUGCUCCUGUUGGUGUUAUGUCACCAUGCAAGUACCUGCAGAGACUUCACCUUGCCUUGGCCGGGCUCAGGACCCUGGGGUGCAAACAUCCCCAGGACUUUGGGCAAAGCGAUGCCUGGAUCCCAGAUCCUUUUUUGGGGCAUGAUGUACAUGGAGGACCAGCGCUGGCAGCGGGGACUUAGCUGCAUGCCCAGCCAGGGAAGGUGCCUCUUCAUGAGCCAUGUUCUGGUGUUGGAGGACAUGAGCAGAGCAAUGGUUUGGAGGCAGACAGUGACCUGUGGUCUCUGGUGCUGCUUGGCAGACAACGAGAUAUCCUUUCAGUAUUUGUCAGAGCUUUUGUGUCCCUUUCAUGAGAUAAUUAGGGUGACGUGUUAUUAGCUGAUUACUGGGGGAAAAAUAUAUUUACUGAGGAUUUAUUCUAGAAACAUUAAUCUUGUGUAUAGUUGCUAAGUCCCCAUAAAUAAUCUGGUUUUGAUAAUCAAUUGCUAUUUUGACCUCCCUUAUAAAUCUCAAUUAAAUGCACACUUAAUUCACAUAAAGU